rnacentral:rRNA from 1 species
UACGUAGGUGGCAAGCGUUGUCCGGAAUUAUUGGGCGUAAAGCGCGCGCAGGCGGCCUUUUAAGUCUGAUGUGAAAGCCCACGGCUCAACCGUGGAAGGUCAUUGGAAACUGAAAGGCUUGAGUACAGAAGAGGAAAGCGGAAUUCCACGUGUAGCGGUGAAAUGCGUAGAGAUGUGGAGGAACACCAGUGGCGAAGGCGGCUUUCUGGGCAACAACUGACGCUGAGGAGCGAAAGCGUGGGGAGCGAACAGG